rnacentral:lncRNA from 10 species
UUAGAUGGAGACAAUCUUGAUUAUAGCUCACUGCAUUCUUGAACUCCUGGCCUCAGGCAAUGCUCCUGCUCCUGCCUCAACUUUCCAAAGUGCUGGGAUUAUAAGUGCACGCCAUCAUGCCCGACCUGACUUGAUGACUUCUUAAGAUUCAGUGAAGCCUGACUCAUUGCUCCAGCUGGAGAGUUGAUUAUGACACAAUGCCUGCCUUGAAGAGGGUAUCUCCAUCUCUUCCCCAUUUUCAUGGAUAUCAAGUGUUUCAUAGAUAUCUGGCUCCACAUGCCAAGUUGUGGGAAGAUUUAACUCCCAACUUAAUAUGAAAUCAAGGAUGCAAUUUCUGAUUAAGCCAGUAAAUUUUGCACAGGAAAUACUCCUUGUUCUACAGCUACAUCCUGUGUAUCUCAUGCUAGCCUUUGCCAGCAAAUAUUAGUCCUUGGUUUUAAGAAAGAUUCAGGGGAAAAAAUUGCUCAACUCUGGAAAAAUAAAAACAAGAGUCCUCCUGGGGUCAGAGAAAAUUGAUUUGAUUUAUUCUGCAACAACUUCUUACUAGACAGCGGAGAGAAGAGUGCAAGAAUCUCUGGGUCAGAAGACCUCACUUAAUCUCUCAAGGUCUCAGUGCCCUUAUGAGGAGUUGAACCACAUGAUUAAUAAGUUUUUGACUCCUGUAUUUAUGAUUUUUAACACUCAUGGAAUUGUUAGGGUGGCCUAAUGGGUAAACAUAAAUCUUGCCACGUAUAAUCUGCCUGACUUUGCCCCAAACUUUUAAAAGCACAUGAAUAUGAGCCAAUAAAUCUAAAUUAUAGUAUACUGCACAUUUGCUGUGAGAAAUUUCCUAUUAUCACUGCCUUUAUGUAAAUGAUUGCUCAUAAUGUUAGUAGACAAACCACUUAAUAAUUUCCAGGCCAGUGAACUUUUGCCCCACUUCAAAAUAAAGUUGUUAUUCUCCUUUCAAUAGAAGCUUAGGAUACGUCAAGCCUAAUGAGAGUAAGUUAGUAGGAAAAAAAGGCUAUGUCAUCUGUAGAGGUGAUAACAAGAUCAGAUCAAGUGGUUCCAAGUGUUUUAUUUUCUACCACAUGCCUUCAUAUGAGUUCAUCUCAAUGAAUACUGUUUGAGUGGUCAGAGAGCUACCAUAAAGAUGCUCUAUCUAAGACCGUAUGAAGAAUUUUUUUUAAGAAUAAAGUUCAUGGUAACUUUAAGGUAACAUUCUCAGGGGGGAAAACAUUUCCAAAUAUCUGUAUUGCAAACUGCCAAGAACAGGGAUCCAGUCUUGAUCCCUCCGCUGAUAUGCUCUGGGACUGGAAACAAGUCAAUUUCUCCCUCCCUCAAGGUCUUAAAAUUAAUGUUUUAUCUGGAUCACCUAUGUUGUAGUAAUCAGGGUUUCCCAAGAAUAAAAUGGAAUUAUAUGGCAUCUUAGAUUCCUUCCAAAGGUGGUGUCACUGUUUCUUUCUCCUUAAUUAGGUGAUGAUAUUGCCAACAUCUCCCCAAGGCAUCAUAUUUAUUCCAG